GACGAACGCUGGCGGCGUGCUUAACACAUGCAAGUCGAACGGAAAGGCCCUGCUUUUGUGGGGUGCUCGAGUGGCGAACGGGUGAGUAACACGUGAGUAACCUGCCCUUGACUUUGGGAUAACUUCAGGAAACUGGGGCUAAUACCGGAUAGGAGCUCCUGCUGCAUGGUGGGGGUUGGAAAGUUUCGGCGGUUGGGGAUUGACUCGCGGCUUAUCAGCUUGUUGGUGGGGUAGUGGCUUACCAAGGCUUUGACGGGUAGCCGGCAUGAGAGGGUGACCGGCCACAUUGGGACUGCGAUACGGCCCAGACUCCUACGGGAGGCAGCAGUGGGGAAUAUUGCACAAUGGGAGGAAGCCUGAUGCAGCAACGCCGCGUGCGGGAUGACGGCCUUCGGGUUGUAAACCGCUUUCGCCUGUGACGAAGCGUGAGUGACGGUAAUGGGUAAAGAAGCACCGGCUAACUACGUG
rnacentral:rRNA from 1 species